GGAGAGGUGGCCGAGUGGUUUAAGGCGCAGCAUUGGAAAUGCUGUAUAGGGGAAACUCUAUCGAGGGUUCGAAUCCCUCCCUCUCCG
rnacentral:tRNA from 2 species